rnacentral:rRNA from 1 species
AGUGAACGCUGGCGGUAGGCCUAACACAUGCAAGUCGAACGGCAGCACAGUAAGAGCUUGCCCUUACGGGUGGCGAGUGGCGGACGGGUGAGGAAUACAUCGGAAUCUACUUUUUCGUGGGGGAUAACGUAGGGAAACUUACGCUAAUACCGCAUACGACCUACGGGUGAAAGCAGGGGAUUUUCGGACCUUUCGCGAUUGAAUGAGCCGAUGUCGGAUUAGCUAGUUGGCGGGGUAAAGGCCCACCAAGGCGACGAUCCGUAGCUGGUCUGAGAGGAUGAUCAGCCACACUGGAACUGAGACACGGUCCAGACUCCUACGGGAGGCAGCAGUGGGGAAUAUUGGACAAUGGGCGCAAGCCUGAUCCAGCCAUACCGCGUGGGUGAAGAAGGCCUUCGGGUUGUAAAGCCCUUUUGUUGGGAAAGAAAAGCAGCAGGUUAAUACCCCGCUGUUCUGACGGUACCCAAAGAAUAAGCACCGGCUAACUUCGUG